rnacentral:rRNA from 1 species
ACUCAAAUGAAUUGACGGGGGCCCGCACAAGCGGUGGAGCAUGUUGUUUAAUACGUCACUAACCGUAGAACCUUACCAGGGCUUGACAUCUGGCGACCGCCUGUGAAAGCAGGUCUUCCCCGCAAGGGGACGCCAAGACAGGUGUUGCAUGGCUGUCGUCAGCUCGUGUCGUGAGAUGUUGGGUUAAGUCCCGCAACGAGCGCAACCCUCACCCCAUGUUGCCAGCGGGUAAAGCCGGGAACUCUUGGGGAACUGCCUUCGCAAGAGGGAGGAAGGUGGGGAUGACGUCAAGUCAGCAUGGCCCUUACGCCCUGGGCUACAAACAUGCUACAAUGGACGGUAGACAAAGCGAUCCAAGACCGCAAGGUGGAGGCAAUCGCAAAAAUCCGUUCUCAGUUCGGAUCGCAGGCUGCAACUCGCCUGCGUGAAGUCGGAAUCGCUAGUAACCGCCGAUCAGCCAAGCGGCGGUGAAUACGUUCCCGGGCCUUGUACACACCGCCCGU